UACGAAGGGGACUAGCGUUGUUCGGAAUCACUGGCGUAAAGCGCACGUAGGCGGAUUUGUAAGUCAGGGUGAAAUCCCGGGGCUCAACCUCGGAACUGCCUUUGAUACUGCGAAUCUUGAGUCCGAUAGAGGUGGUGGAAUUCCUAGUGUAGAGGUGAAAUUCGUAGAUAUUAGGAAGAACACCGGUGGCGAAGGCGGCCCACUGGAUCGGUACUGACGCUGAGGAGCGAAAGCGUGGGGAGCAAACAGG
rnacentral:rRNA from 1 species